rnacentral:rRNA from 1 species
AUGGCGGAGCAGGUGGUGGCGGACCUCCGAGAGAAGUGCGCCACGCCGCCGUCGCUGCUGUGCGACGUGGCGGCGGCGAUGGCCGACGAGAUGUGCGCGGGACUGGGGAAGGAGGGUGGGAGCAGGGUCCAGAUGCUGCUCUCCUACGUUGACAAGCUCCCCACGGGGAGAGAGGAAGGUUUGUUCUAUGGACUGGACCUAGGAGGGACAAACUUCCGUGUCUUGAAGGUGCAGCUAGGUGGCAAUGAUAAGCAUGUCAUUAGCUGCGAGUCCAGAGAAGUCGCCAUCCCACCACAUUUGAUGUCAGGGAGCUCCUCUGAAUUGUUUGGUUUCAUUGCUUCUGAAUUAGCCAAGUUUGUGGCUGAUGAAGAGAAGGGUACUAGCUUGUCAAACGAGAAGACACGGAAACUAGGAUUCACAUUUUCUUUCCCAGUGAGGCAACGGUCUGUUGCAUCAGGGACCCUUGUCAAGUGGACAAAGGCAUUUUCUAUAGAAGAUGCUGUAGGUAAAGAUGUAGUUGCUGAACUGCAAACAGCUAUGCAGAAGCAAGGUCUAGACAUGCAUGUGGCUGCACUAAUUAAUGACGCUGUUGGGACAUUGGCUGGAGCCAGAUACUACGAUGAAGAUGUCGUCGCAGGUGUGAUAUUUGGCACUGGCACAAAUGCUGCUUAUGUUGAGAAGGCAAAUGCUAUACCAAAAUGGGAAGGAGAGCUGCCUAAUUCAGGAGAAAUGGUCAUUAAUAUGGAAUGGGGUAAUUUCUAUUCAUGCCAUCUUCCAGUCACUGAAUACGAUCAAGCAUUAGAUAGUGAAAGCUUAAAUCCAGGAGAGCAGAUCUACGAGAAGUUAACCUCAGGAAUGUAUUUAGGUGAAAUUGUAAGGAGGGUGUUGCUUAAACUGUCCUUGCAAUCUGGCAUUUUUGGUGAAAUUGACCACACUAAGCUCAAAACUCAUUUCCAUCUCCGGACUCCGCAUAUUUCUGCAAUGCACCAUGACGACACACCCAAUCUGAAGAUAGUAGAAGAAAAACUGGAAGAAAUCCUAGAGAUUGCAAGCACGUCCUUAGAGACGCGGAAAAUGGUUGUUGAGAUCUGCGACAUUGUUGCAAGAAGGGCAGCCCGGCUGGCUGCUGCGGGCCUUGCAGGGAUCCUCAAGAAGCUUGGGAGAGAUGGCUGCGUCGACAAGCAUCGGUCGGUCAUCGCCAUCGAUGGAGGACUGUUCGAACACUAUGCCAAGUUCAGCAAAUGUUUGGAAGCUACUCUAUAUGAGCUGCUAGGGGAGCAGUCAUCGAAGUCGGUAGUCAUCAAGCACGCGGACGAUGGCUCGGGGAUAGGGGCUGCCCUGAUCGCUGCUUCCCAAUCUCAGUGCAGAAAUGUUGAAUAG